GCUCCAAUAGCCCAACAUGGCAGAGGCGACAGGCUUAGACCCUGUGCGGUGGGGGUUCGAAUCCCUCUUGGAGUAC
rnacentral:tRNA from 1 species